UGUGCAACCCAGCAUCCUUUCAUGCCAAGCCUGGUGAUUACUUUAGGUCCCUGAGCUACAGGCAUAAUUGUCUCCCAUGAAGUGACUGGGGACUCUUGAGAGGAAGGAGGAAGGUGGAGAGAAGAACACUAGAUGAAGAAUUAAGGUACUUCUUUGAAAAUUAAAACAACUAAAAAUAGAAUUGUCUCUCAAACAUUGACAUACGUGAUCAGGCUAAUACACUACUCUGUGCACUCCUUCUUCUGAAAUAAGUUACUACAAGCCAAAAUACAAUCUGUGGACAGCCAGCAGAUCGGACAUGUGACUGUGGGGCGCCCGGCUUCCUUUGUGUUAAACAUCCUCCUCGCCUGUAAGUUUUAUGUGCCUGCAUAAACCACGGAUUCUUCUUACCAGAGAAGGAACACAAGCUGAGGGAGACUGAUGGCAUGGAGGGCAACAGUGUACACCGACCUAGUGUCAGUGAGAAAACACAGUCUAAUGAUGUUUUGCCCAAGGUAUUUCCACUAAGAACAGAGACCUGGAGUAGUCUAAAGCUAAAGGAAGAAAUAGAACCUGAAAGUCUCAAGGAUUCUCCUUCCAGUUUCAUCAUUUUCUGUAAGGUCUUAGAAUUUCUACACUCUCCACUGGUGUUUAGACUCAUUUGGGUAACUUGAUUGACAUGGAAACCCAGAUCAUCAUUCCUGAGUAGUCUAAGAGCAUUGAAUCUUGCCUUCAUUGAACCAUGGUUGCUGCGACUGUUCAUUUACCAUUAUCACCAAGUACGGAAGCACCAAAAGACACCCCUGUGGAUCCUGUGGAAAUUUCCCCUAAAGAUUAGGAGUGUCAGACAUUGACAUCAGUCUCAGAGAACUGACCCGUGAACUAAUUAGAAGAGGAAUUCCCCCCCAUGCCCCACCUUCUUGUCAGAGAGCUGGGUCAGAUGAAAGGCACCUCUGUUUACUUCCUGAUCUGUCUAAUUUCUGUAACAAGGACCAUCCCAAACUCAUCUCCCAGCAGCUGCUACAACUGAAACUCGAGAGAUUGCCCCAGGCACCAUGACACCUCCUCAGCGCUGCCCGACCCUGAUGGAUUAGCUCUCCUUAGCACAGGUGGCAAUUUAACAGGAGACCAAACUUUUACACCAGUCAGAGGCCACUGAAAAUUACUCCAAAGACUGCAGGUCUAAAGCAGAGCUAAGAAAACACGGGAUUUUCUAAAAUGUGUAUCAAGUGCCCAUCCUCACACCCACACUUUCCAAUGGAAGAUGAUUACCAGAGGAAGUGGGAAUGACAGGGAGCAAAGAAUGGAUAUAAUUUCAAAAAGGAAAAAAAAGUAGCAUAUUUUCAUUAGGAGUUCUAAAACUGCAUGUUUUAACCAUGCAAUGCAAAUUUAAGGACCCAUAUCUGCAUAAGGGCUGAGUUAUGUUUCAAACAAAACAUGACAAUUUUUGCCUGAAAAACUUCUUACAAUGAUACAAAAAGCAAUAUCAAUGAUUCCUUUAUUCUUUUUUACUAUACAACAUUUUCCAUUUAUUUUAAGCUACUAAACACCUUAAAAAAAGUAACAACCCGUGUCAUCUUUUUCACAAUAGCCCAGCAUUUUAAUUAAGUUGCUUGCAUAAAAAUGUUGGUAAACAGGGCAUAACACAUAUACUAUAAUAUUUCCUAACUUCCAGUGAAUGCUCACAAAAGAAUUUAGAAAGCAGAUGAGUUGGAUAGACAAAAAUCAUAUUACUCACAAGACAGUUUGGAGGCUGAGAAAAAUGACUCUGAAAUGCUGACAGAAGACUCUAAAUUAUGGAUAAUGCACAUGAAAGCACUUUGACACAUGUAAGAAAAGAUGUAACCAUUAUUAGAAGGUUAGAAAUUAAAAGCGAAAUGACAGUCCAUACACUGGUAUUCAUAUACACAUAUGUGAUAUAUGCAUAUACGUGAUGAGCUGUCAAAUAUUUCCUUACUUUUUUAAACACCAGGUUUUGUAAAUUCUAAUACAGAAAUUAAAGUGAUUUGGGGAUUGAUUUCUUUUUGCAUUUUUAAAAUAAAAUCCCAGUUGUUGAAAUCAAUGGAAAGGAAGAAAAGCUUAUAACAUGCCUACUUGGAAUGUUGGGGAAAAUGUCAGAUUCGUCUUACCUUUUUAGAUUUUAAUCUCUUAUUAGCUGACCACUUCCUAUGUGCACUACUGGAAAGAUUCCUUUUCAAAAUGAAACAGACGUGAGGAAAAAGAAAUAGAAAUGAAAUCAUGUCGUACAGGAGUAAAGUCUCAAAAUGCUGCAGAACUCAUAUUGACUCAGAUUUUCACUUCUUCAUCGUCUUUUGGGUAGAAAAUUGAAAUAAAAAUAUAUGGUGUCUCUUCGAAGCGAGAGAGUAGCACAGACAUAUAUAUACUACCAACUGUAAAAUAGGUAGUCAGUGGGAAGUUGUUGUAUAACAAAGGGAGUCCAAGUCGAGGAUGGAA